CUAAUACACUUUUAACAUGUCUUCUAUACCUACUUCCCUAGCUUUUAUUCAAUAUAAUGUCAGUUGAGAGCAUAAAUAGGUUUAAAGAUUUUAAUCAUUAUUUUGAGCCAAUUCUACUAGUUAGUGCAAUUAACUUUCUCAAUUUGUUUCCUGCUUGUUGGAUGCUUUUAGACUGAGUGCAUGAAAUCAGUCCUUUCUCUAGACACAGAGUUAUGCAGAGAGGGGGAGCCAGGUACAUGCCCUAACUCUGGUGGUGCUGAGACCCACAGUUGCUUAUUAUCAGGUCUAUGAAACUUAAAAUUCCAAAUUCAGGUGACAACUGAGAAUGAGAUAUGAUUUAGUGUUUUAGACGUCACUGCAAGAUUACUCUUAAAGAAAACAUCUUGAGGGGGUUUUAUGAUGGUUUUGGAUCAUUGACUAUUUGACUGAGGGACUGGAAGGCAGCAAAAUGAAGAACAAACUGCUAACAGUACCUUGAUAUUCAGUAUCAAUCCAAAAUUAACAUAAUGAAAAAAUGAUUUAUCAACUUCAGAUGCACAAAUCUUCUAUAGUGCAAGCAGUAAUAUUUACUUUUGUCAAUAUAAAUUAAUAAAUGCAUAUCAGUGGAUGAAGUAGAGGAAAUGGGGUGCAAAUUAUCACAAUGGAGUAUGAUUCUUUCCAGUUAUAAGACAUUCUAUUAUUUUAUAGUAAUCAGUGUAUGAAUGACAUUAACAAAUCAAUCGGUUCUCUGAUAUCUUUAUUACAGAUGACAAGAGACCUCCCAGGAUCUGCAGUGGUUCCCUUGCCCCUACCCACUGCACACUGUUUCUGUUUCUCUGUUUGCUCUCUCUCUCUCUCUCUCUCUCUCUCUGUCUCACACACACACACAAACACUUAACUUUUGACCCACUCUAUCCUCAACUGAAGUUACCAUUUUUCUUUUCCAGAUCUACACAGAAUAACCCCAUCUUGCAAAAUCUUUAUCCCUAUAAAUCUCUAAAAUAUAUUAAAUUAUAUAUCUUCG
ensembl:lncRNA